UACGAAGGGGGCGAGCGUUGUUCGGAAUCACUGGGCGUAAAGGGCGCGUAGGCGGCCCUCUUAGUCGCGUGUGAAAGCCCCGGGCUCAACCUGGGAACGGCGCGCGAAACGGGAUGGCUUGAGGUUGGGAGAGGGAUGCGGAAUUCCAGGUGUAGCGGUGAAAUGCGUAGAUAUCUGGAGGAACACCGGUGGCGAAGGCGGCAUCCUGGACCAAUUCUGACGCUGAGGAGCGAAAGCCAGGGGAGCAAACGGG
rnacentral:rRNA from 1 species